rnacentral:rRNA from 1 species
AAACUUUACAAUGCGGGAAACCGUGAUAAGGGGACACCGAGUGCCAGCAUCAUAUGCUGGCUGUCCGGAUGUGUAAAAUACAUCCGUUAGCAAGGGCCGGGCAAGACUGGUGCCAGCCGCCGCGGUAACACCGGCGGCCCGAGUGGUGAUCGUGAUUAUUGGGUCUAAAGGGUCCGUAGCCGGUUUGGUCAGUCCUCCGGGAAAUCUGAUAGCUCAACUAUUAGGCUUUCGGGGGAUACUGCCAGACUUGGAACCGGGAGAGGUAAGAGGUACUACAGGGGUAGGAGUGAAAUCUUGUAAUCCCUGUGGGACCACCUGUGGCGAAGGCGUCUUACCAGAACGGGUUCGACGGUGAGGGACGAAAGCUGGGGGCACGAACCGGAUUAGAUACCCGGGUAGUCCUAGCCGUAAACGAUACUCGCUAGGUGUCGGCCACGGUGCGACCGUUGUCGGUGCCGUAGGGAAGCCGUGAAGCGAGCCACCUGGGAAGUACGGCCGCAAGGCUGAAACUUAAAGGAAUUGGCGGGGGAGCACCACAACGGGUGGAGCUUGCGGUUU